rnacentral:rRNA from 1 species
UACAGAGGGGGCAAGCGUUGUUCGGAAUUACUGGGCGUAAAGGGCGCGUAGGCGGCCUUCUAAGUCGAACGUGAAAUCCCCGGGCUCAACCCGGGAACUGCGUCCGAGACUGGAAGGCUCGAAUCCGGGAGAGGGAUGUGGAAUUCCAGGUGUAGCGGUGAAAUGCGUAGAUAUCUGGAGGAACAUCGGUGGCGAAGGCGGCGAUCCUGGACCGGUAUUGACGCUGACGGCGCGAAAGCCAGGGGAGCAAAGCGGG